CCUACGGGUGGCAGCAGUGGGGAAUAUUGCACAAUGGGGGAAACCCUGAUGCAGCGACGCCGCGUGAGUGAAGACGUAUUUCGGUGUGUAAAGCUCUAUCAGCAGGGAAGAAAAUGACGGUACCUGAUUAAGAAGCCCCGUCUAACUACGUGCCAGCAGCCGGGGUAAUGCGUAGGGGGCAAGCGUUAUCCGGAUUUACUGGGUGUAAAGGGAGCGUAGACGGCAGCACAAGUUUGGAGUGAAAUGCCGGGGGUUAACCCCUGAACUGCUGUGGAAACUGUGCAGCUAGAGUUCAGGAGAGGUAAGCGGAAUGCGUGGUGUAGCGGUGAAAUGCGUAGAUAUUAGGAGGAACUCCAGUGGCGAAGGCGGCUUACUGGACUGUAACUGACGUUGAGGCUCGAAAGCGUGGGGAGCAAACAGGAUUAGAUACCCUAGUAGUC
rnacentral:rRNA from 1 species